rnacentral:rRNA from 1 species
UACGUAGGGUGCGAGCGUUGUCCGGAAUUAUUGGGCGUAAAGGGCUCGUAGGCGGUUUGUCGCGUCGGGAGUGAAAACCUUGGGCUUAACUCAGGGCUUGCUUUCGAUACGGGCAGACUAGAGGUAUGCAGGGGAGAACGGAAUUCCUGGUGUAGCGGUGAAAUGCGCAGAUAUCAGGAGGAACACCGGUGGCGAAGGCGGUUCUCUGGGACGUAACUGACGCUGAGACGCGAAAGCGUGGGGAGCAAACAGG